rnacentral:tRNA from 1 species
GGGCGGUUAGCUCAGCGGUAGAGCACUGCAUUCACAUUGCAGUGGCCACAGGUUCGAAUCCUGUACCGCCCA